AUCGCUUCUCCGCCUUUUGGCUAAGAUCAAGUGUAGAAACUGCCAUCGUAGAAACCUUUGUUCCUUUAAAAAGAGAUGGAAGUAAUUCAGCAAAAUUUCACCCAUCCUUACAUAGUUUACUAAUUUUGGAUUGAUAAUAAAUUUCUUCACCACACUGAGUAAUUCAAUAAAU
rnacentral:snRNA from 1 species